CCCUGGCUGGCUUGGUUGGUAGAGCAUGAGACUCUUAAUCUUGGCAUUGUGGGUUCAAACUCCACAUCGGGUA
rnacentral:tRNA from 1 species